AUUGAACGCUGGCGGCAUGCCUUACACAUGCAAGUCGAACGGUAACAGGUCUUCGGAUGCUGACGAGUGGCGAACGGGUGAGUAAUACAUCGGAACGUGCCCGAUCGUGGGGGAUAACGAAGCGAAAGCUUUGCUAAUACCGCAUAAGAUCUACGGAUGAAAGCAGGGGACCGCAAGGCCUUGCGCGAACGGAGCGGCCGAUGGCAGAUUAGGUAGUUGGUGGGGUAAAAGCUUACCAAGCCGACGAUCUGUAGCUGGUCUGAGAGGACGACCAGCCACACUGGGACUGAGACACGGCCCAGACUCCUACGGGAGGCAGCAGUGGGGAAUUUUGGACAAUGGGCGAAAGCCUGAUCCAGCCAUGCCGCGUGCAGGAUGAAGGCCUUCGGGUUGUAAACUGCUUUUGUACGGAACGAAAAGACUCUUUCUAAUAAAGGGGGUCCAUGACGGUACCGUAAGAAUAAGCACCGGCUAACUACGUGCCAGCCGCCGCCGUAACAC
rnacentral:rRNA from 1 species